AUUGAACGCUGGCGGCAGGCCUAACACAUGCAAGUCGAGCGGAUGAAGGGAGCUUGCUCCUGGAUUCAGCGGCGGACGGGUGAGUAAUGCCUAGGAAUCUGCCUGGUAGUGGGGGAUAACGUCCGGAAACGGGCGCUAAUACCGCAUACGUCCUGAGGGAGAAAGUGGGGGAUCUUCGGACCUCACGCUAUCAGAUGAGCCUAGGUCGGAUUAGCUAGUUGGUGGGGUAAAGGCCUACCAAGGCGACGAUCCGUAACUGGUCUGAGAGGAUGAUCAGUCACACUGGAACUGAGAAACGGUCCAGACUCCUACGGGAGGCAGCAGUGGGGAAUAUUGGACAAUGGGCGAAAGCCUGAUCCAGCCAUGCCGCGUGUGUGAAGAAGGUCUUCGGAUUGUAAAGCACUUUAAGUUGGGAGGAAGGGCAGUAAAUUAAAACCUUGCUGUUUUGACGUUACCAACAGAAUAAGCACCGGCUAACUUCGUG
rnacentral:rRNA from 1 species